rnacentral:snoRNA from 1 species
CAGUGGCCUUAUCGAAGCGGGUUGAUCGCGAAAUCAUGCGCGUCGCCGGUCAAAAAAAGUGGCCUAGAAUGAAGCAUUCCGUCGACGGUCAUUGAGGGCCUGCAAUAAUAAGGUGGCCUAUCAAUAACAAUUAUGACGGAAUACAAAAU